rnacentral:lncRNA from 1 species
UGGGUUUUCUCUUCAUUUUUGGCAUCAUCUUGAGUCUCAUUUCUUUUGGACACUUGACCAUGGCCACGACCAUAUCCUCUAUUGAUGGGCAAAUUCGUAAAUGCAUGAAAUCGUUCAAGUAAUAAAAUAACAAGUAGAGUAUCGUCCCAUAGAUUGCAUAUCAAGUACCAAAAUUGAAGAAAAUUAUACUAUUAUCUAGAAAUCAAAAUUA